GCCCUAGUAACGGCGAGUGAAGCGGCAACAGCUCAAAUUUGAAAUCUGGCCCUUGGGUCCGAAUUGUAAUUUGUAGAGGAUGAUUUUGGUGCGGUAUCUUCCGAGUUCCUUGGAACAGGACGCCUUAGAGGGUGAGAGCCCCGUACGGUUGAAUGCCUAGCCUCUGUAAAUCUCCUUCGACGAGUCGAGUAGUUUGGGAAUGCUGCUCUAAAUGGGAGGUAAAUUUCUUCUAAAGCUAAAUACUGGCCAGAGACCGAUAGCGCACAAGUAGAGUGAUCGAAAGAUGAAAAGCACUUUGAAAAGAGGGUUAAAUAGCACGUGAAAUUGUUGAAAGGGAAGGAUUUAUGACCAGACUUUUUCUGGGCGGAUCAUCCGGUGUUCUCACCGGUGCACUUUGCCCAGUUUAGGCCAGCAUCGAUUUUCGGAUAGGGAUAAAAGCUUUAGGAAUGUGGCACCCUCCGGGGUGUGUUAUAGCCUAUUGUAUAAUACCUUUCUGGGGAUCGAGGUACGCGCUUCUGCAAGGAUGCUGGCGUAAUGGUUAUCAAUCACCCGUCUUGAAACACGGACCAAGGAGUCGAACAUUUGUGCAAGUGUUUGGGUGUUAAACCCUCACGCGUAAUGAAAGUGAACGGAGGUGAGAGCCCUUACGGGUGCAUCAUCGACCGAUCCUGAAGUUUUCGGAUGGAUUUGAGUAAGAGCAUAACUGUUCGGACCCGAAAGAUGGUGAACUAUGCGUGGAUAGGGUGAAGCCAGAGGAAACUCUGGUGGAGGCUCGCAGCGGUUCUGACGUGCAAAUCGAUCGUCAAAUCUGCGCAUGGGGGCGAAAGACUAAUCGA
rnacentral:rRNA from 1 species